rnacentral:misc_RNA from 1 species
GAAUUAAUGGGGAACCUACACUUGUCGAACAGUGUUCAGUUUUGAGGGGUUUACCUCUCAGCUUGUACUUUGAAAACUAAAUAAUAUCAAUUUCUAAUAAAAUCAAGAAAACCGAGAACACCGCGUUAUUUGAGUUUUUAACGAAUUAUAAUCGCAUACUCAACUAACUUGACUGAUCGACGAUCAGUAAG